rnacentral:lncRNA from 1 species
GGGCCCAGACUAAGCCAUUAUGACCUAACUUUAACUUGAUUACCUCUGGAAAGACCCUGUUUCCAAAAAAUGUCACAGCCACAGGGACUGAGAGUUAGAGCAUCCACACAUAUUUCUUGAGAGGCAUAAGUCAGCUCACAACAGACAUCUACCAGACUUGGUUAUAGUAUAAGGAAGCCACUGGUGAUCUUCCCACUAUGCUUUAUCAUGCAGCUAGAGAGAGCCAGAUAUGGGCAUGUUGAAGGGAAGGACCUGAUGGAAAGUGAGAAGUUGGAGAUGCAGAAGAGAAAGGUUUACUGAUGGAAUAAGUCUUGAUGGAGAUGAGUGUGGGUGAGGGAAGACCUUAGCCUCGGGCAGAAGAGGCUGAAUGGAGGUGGGAGUUGGUCCUGGGAAGAGGUGGCAGAACCAGCAAACAGAAUCGAUUUGGAGAGAGGAGCGCAGGGGCCUGCUAAUCUACUCUACAAAGGUGUACCCAGCCAACUGGCACAUCAGAGCUUCUGGGUGCCAGGAACCAACAAGGAAUAGAACAAAAAGCCCUUCAGUUCUGCUGACUAAAUUAAAGCUAACCAGCCGAAAAGAAAGACUUUCAUCAUUUGGCAGAAACUUACCUCUGACAACUCCUCCAGGUCCAGGUGAAACUGUAGGACUUACUGAUAUUGGGGCACGCUCUUCACACUACUGCUACGAAUUUGCUCACGCUCCCUGGAAUGCCUCCUACAGCUGA